rnacentral:lncRNA from 1 species
UCCUGUCACCAUGUCAGCCUGUCUGUGUCCUGUCACCAUGUCAACCUGUCUGUGUCCUGUCACCAUGUCAGCCUGUCUGUGUCCCUGUCACCAUGUUAGCCUGUCUGUGUCCCUGUCACCCUGUCAGCCUGUCUGUGUCUCUGUCAGCCUGUCUGUGUCCCUGUCACCAUGUCAGCCUGUGUCCCUGUCACCAUGUUAGCCUGUCUGUGUCCCUGCCACCAUGUCAGCCUGUCUAUGUCCCUGUCACCAUGUCAGCCUGCGUCCCUGUCACCCUGUCAACCUGUCUGUGUCCUGUCAUGACACUCUCUGACUCCCCAGAAAUAUUGACAUUCAUAGUUAAUUCAAUCUUCCUUUCAUUGAACCCACUCAAGUCCCGUCUCAGAACCCACCAUCACAGCAGCUAGACACACCAUAGAAGACCCCGUGGUGCAACCGAAGGGGCCCCACACACUCUAUAUAUAAAUCAUCAACCUCUAAACUCUGUCAGAAAGCCGGGCCUGGGAAAGAAUCCCGGUCAGGUUAUGGAAUGAUAUCCGAUCCGGCCAGAGAGAGAGAGCAACGGAGGGUUUAAAGGGUUUAUGCAGUGAGCUCUGGGAUAGAAGGGAAAAGGUAGGUCUCUUCCUGGUCUCUCUCCCAGUCUCUCCCAGUCUCUCCUGGUCUCUUCAACUCUCUUCCAGCCUUUUCCAGUCUUUCCUGAUGUCUCUCGCCUAGUCUCUCUCCCAGUCUCUCUCCCAGUCUCUCUCCAGUCUCUCUCCACUCUGAAGCCGAUUGUCCUGGCUGGGUUAAUUGGGAUUUCCCCCGAUGGGAGUGCCGGAGCGUGGAAAGGAAAGUUUCGGCUCAGCGGUCCAAGGAAAACAAGGCUUGGAUGUGGAUGUGCACCACGGGUAGUUAGGAAUGGGAACAACAUCGCAAUAAAGGAAAAUAAAUAAGAUGGGGGAGGAGGAGGAGAGUAAGAAGGGAGGGGUGAAGGAGGAGGGGAGAGUGGGGGAUACGCAAUUGCAGGAUAAAUUAAGUGGCUGAGUCCCAACACUAGACACCAGACACACAGACACCAGACAUACAGAGGAAAACCUGCAACCCCCUUCUAACCCUGCUCAUUGUGAGCUACAAGGGGGGUAUAAGGGACAGAGAAGGCAGGAGGGAGAUAGAGGGGGCUGUCUCUCUAUCUAUCUGUCUGACAGUCUGGUUUUAAUGGAAAAAGGAAUAGAUUCCCUCCUCCUUCAUAAAGGGUGAUCCUCAUGAGGAACUCAAUGACCAGGGCUUUGAAAGUGUUGAACCGACAGACAGACAGCAAAUCCCCCAACGCUUUCAACUCUGAGAAGAGGGGGAUUGUGAGUAGAUGGAGGGUUAUAAGGGGUGCUGAGGGGGGAUUGAUGGGUGGAUGGGGAGUUAUAAGGGGUGCUGAGGGGGGAUUAGGGGAGGAUGGG